UAGGGAAUCUUCCACAAUGGACGAAAGUCUGAUGGAGCAACGCCGCGUGAGUGAAGUAAGGUUUUCGGAUACGUAAAGCUCUGUUGUUGGUGAAGAAGGAUAGAGGCAGUAACUGGUCUUUAUUGACGGUAAUCAACAGAAAGCCACGGCUAACUACGUGCCAG
rnacentral:rRNA from 1 species